rnacentral:rRNA from 1 species
GACGAACGCUGGCGGCGUGCUUAACACAUGCAAGUCAAACGGAAAGGCCCUGCUUUUGUGGGGUGCUCGAGUGGCGAACGGGUGAGUAACACGUGAGUAACCUGCCCUUGACUUUGGGAUAACUUCAGGAAACUGGGGCUAAUACCGGAUAGGAGCUCCUGCUGCAUGGUGGGGGUUGGAAAGUUUCGGCGGUUGGGGAUGGACUCGCGGCUUAUCAGCUUGUUGGUGGGGUAGUGGCUUACCAAGGCUUUGACGGGUAGCCGGCCUGAGAGGGUGACCGGCCACAUUGGGACUGAGAUACGGCUCAGACUCCUACGGGAGGCAGCAGUGGGGAAUAUUGCACAAUGGGCGGAAGCCUGAUGCAGCAACGCCGCGUGCGGGAUGACGGCCUUCGGGUUGUAAACCGCUUUCGCCUGUGACGAAGCGUGAGUGACGGUAAUGGGUAAAGAAGCACCGGCUAACUACGUG